UCUUGUCUGCGGUGCGCGUCGGGCUUUAUAUUUCCUUGAACCAAUGCUCAUAUGAGCCAGGGCUUGGAACAUCGUCUGGUCGGCGUGAUCAUCUCGCGUCAGAUGAACCCAAGACCAGUCUGACCUCGCCCACCUGAACCCCCGCGUUCAGGAUGACGGUCCGGCGGCAUUCGCAGACACCUU
rnacentral:other from 1 species